AACGUAAGCAGCCCUCCAAUCUUAAUAUUUCAAGAUAAACAUAUUCGAAACCAUUGAGAAGCCAUAGUAUAAUUUUGGUUCAUUGCCAACUGAAACAAAUUCUCAAAUAGAUAGGCAAUAAUAAUUGCUCCGCACCAUACAUCUUGCCAGAAUUAAUUGUUGAUCUAUCAUCCAGCUUAAAAGAGACACAAGUCCAGAAGGCACUGAGCUGCUUGCAAAUCUCCCGUUGAUUCUUUUCAAAAUUGAAAGCCAACAAAGCUUUGGCAAUUUAUGAUCACUAAGCGGAAGGCC
rnacentral:lncRNA from 1 species